AUGAUCAGAAGAAACCUUGAAAUAGUAAAUAUAUUGGAGGCACAACUUAUAAGUUGUAGAAGGAAAUCUUAUGUUCUAACCUUAAUCAGUUCUAUAAUCUGUGUCAAUCGAGGUAACAGAUGUCAAAGAAUAGUCUUUUAUAUAAUCCUCUGCUCAUUGGUUAAUGUCUUGGUGCAGAGCAUGAAAGAAAGAAAUACAAAAACAAAUCAUCUGCUUUCAUCCUGUCUGUUUCUAUAA